UGGGAAUUUUGGACAAUGGGCGCAAGCCUGAUCCAGCCAUUCCGCGUGCAGGAUGAAGGCCCUCGGGUUGUAAACUGCUUUUGUACGGAACGAAAAGGCUUUCUCUAAUACAGAGAGCUCAUGACGGUACCGUAAGAAUAAGCACCGGCUAACUACGUGCCAGCAGCCGCGGUAAUACGUAGGGUGCAAGCGUUAAUCGGAAUUACUGGGCGUAAAGCGUGCGCAGGCGGUGAUGUAAGACAGAUGUGAAAUCCCCGGGCUCAACCUGGGAACUGCAUUUGUGACUGCAUCGCUGGAGUGCGGCAGAGGGGGAUGGAAUUCCGCNUGUAGCAGUGAAAUGCGUAGAUAUGCGGAGGAACACCGAUGGCGAAGGCAAUCCCCUGGGCCUGCACUGACGCUCAUGCACGAAAGCGUGGGGGGCAAACAGGAUUAGAUACCCUGGUAGUCCACGCCCUAAACGAUGUCAACUGGUUGUUGGGUCUUCACUGACUCAGUAACGAAGCUAACGCGUGAAGUUGACCGCCUGGGGAGUACGGCCGCAAGGUUGAAACUCAAAUGAAUUGACGGGGUCAUAGCUGUUUCC
rnacentral:rRNA from 1 species